rnacentral:rRNA from 1 species
AUUGAACGCUGGCGGCAUGCUUUACACAUGCAAGUCGAACGGUAACAGGCCGCAAGGUGCUGACGAGUGGCGAACGGGUGAGUAAUGCAUCGGAACGUGCCCAGUCGUGGGGGAUAACUACUCGAAAGAGUAGCUAAUACCGCAUACGAUCUAUGGAUGAAAGCGGGGGACCGUAAGGCCUCGCGCGAUUGGAGCGGCCGAUGUUAGAUUAGGUAGUUGGUGGGGUAAAGGCUCACCAAGCCAACGAUCUGUAGCUGGUCUGAGAGGACGACCAGCCACACUGGGACUGAGACACGGCCCAGACUCCUACGGGAGGCAGCAGUGGGGAAUUUUGGACAAUGGGCGCAAGCCUGAUCCAGCAAUGCCGCGUGCAGGAAGAAGGCCUUCGGGUUGUAAACUGCUUUUGUACGGAACGAAACGGCUCUGGUUAAUACCCGGGGCUAAUGACGGUACCGUAAGAAUAAGCACCGGCUAACUACGUG